CAGUAGCCGCGGGAAUACGUAGGUGGCAAGCGUUGUCCGGAAUUAUUGGGCGUAAAGCGCGCGCAGGCGGCCUAUCCAGUCUGUCUUAAAAGUUCGGGGCUUAACCCCGUGAUGGGAUGGAAACUGCCAAUCUAGAGUAUCGGAGAGGAAAGUGGAAUUCCUAGUGUAGCGGUGAAAUGCGUAGAUAUUAGGAAGAACACCAGUGGCGAAGGCGACUUUCUGGACGAAAACUGACGCUGAGGCGCGAAAGCCAGGGGAGCGAACGGGAUUAGAUACCCGUGUAGUCCCUGUCUCUUAUACC
rnacentral:rRNA from 1 species